AUUGAACGCUAGCGGGAUGCUUUACACAUGCAAGUCGAACGAGUGGCGGACGGGUGAGUAAUGUAUGGGAACGUGCCCAGUAGCGGGGGAUAACUACUCGAAACGGUGGCUAAUACCGCAUACUAUUGGAGCGGCCGAUAUGGGAUUAGCUAGUUGGUGGGGUAAAGGCUCACCUAGGCAACGAUCCGUAGCUGGUUUGAGAGGAUGACCAGCCACACUGGGACUGAGACACGGCCCAGACUCCUACGGGAGGCAGCAGUGGGGAAUAUUGGACAAUGGGCGAAACCCUGAUCCAGCCAUCCCGCGUGUAUGAGAAGGCCUUCGGGUUGUAAAGUACUUUCGGCAGAGAAGCGGUACCUGCAGAAUAAGCACCGGCUAACUACGUGCCAGCAGCCGCGGUAAUAC
rnacentral:rRNA from 1 species